rnacentral:rRNA from 1 species
UAGGGAAUCUUCGGCAAUGGGGGCAACCCUGACCGAGCAACGCCGUGUGAGUGAAGAAGGUUUUCGGAUCGUAAAGCUCUGUUGUAAGAGAAGAACGUGUGUGAGAGUGGAAAGUUCACACAGUGACGGUAACUUACCAGAAAGGGACGGCUAACUACGUGCCAGCAGCCGCGGUAAUACGUAGGUCCCGAGCGUUGUCCGGAUUUAUUGGGCGUAAAGCGAGCGCAGGCGGUUUAAUAAGUCUGAAGUUAAAGGCAGUGGCUUAACCAUUGUUCGCUUUGGAAACUGUUAAACUUGAGUGCAGAAGGGGAGAGUGGAAUUCCAUGUGUAGCGGUGAAAUGCGUAGAUAUAUGGAGGAACACCGGUGGCGAAAGCGGCUCUCUGGUCUGUAACUGACGCUGAGGCUCGAAAGCGUGGGGAGCAAACAGG